rnacentral:lncRNA from 1 species
GUCUCCCCAUCUUCAUGAGAGAUAGUCAUGGAAUCUGACAGCACAGGCUUUGUCAAGAUUUUUCUUUCUAGGAUUCCUUCACCUAACCAGAACUGACUUCAUCAGAGAGUUAUGAUGGUUAACUCUAUCAGUCUUCUACCUGAAUGCCCCAAGAUAUUGAUGAAGUCAACAAAAACAUUGAGCCUCAGAACACAAGAAAUCUUGGACAAACUGGGAGACAGCUUGUCAGUAUCUAAGGUCUCUGUCUUGUCCUGGAGAUGUCCCCCAUCUCCUCAUCCCCAUCAGCUGAGGAUUUCCAUUUGUUUACAUGGCCCUCCAGGAUCUCUCCUGCACUUCCCCAGACUUGAUCCUGAAGCCUCCAUUUCCCUCCCUAUAGGGAAUGCAUCUGGAAAAGAGACUACCAGCAGAAGAGCAUAAAGGGGCGUGGAAGCCUAAACUGAACGAAGACCAAAGUGUGGACACUUUGCCCCUUCUUAGAAUUUGAAACAAUCACCCAUGGAAGGAGU